UACGGGGGGGGCAAGCGUUGUUCGGAAUUACUGGGCGUAAAGGGCUCGUAGGCGGCCAACUAAGUCAUACGUGAAAUCCCUCGGCUUAACCGGGGAACUGCGUCUGAUACUGGAUGGCUUGAGAUUGGGAGAGGGAUGCGGAAUUCCAGGUGUAGCGGUGAAAUGCGUAGAUAUCUGGAGGAACACCGGUGGCGAAGGCGGCAUCCUGGACCAACACUGACGCUGAGGAGCGAAAGCCAGGGGAGCAAACGGA
rnacentral:rRNA from 1 species